rnacentral:rRNA from 1 species
GACGAACGCUGGCGGCGUGCUUAACACAUGCAAGUCGAACGGAAAGGCCCUGCUUUUGUGGGGUGCUCGAGUGGCGAACGGGUGAGUAACACGUGAGUAACCUGCCCUUGACUUUGGGAUAACUUCAGGAAACUGGGGCUAAUACCGGAUAGGAGCUCCUGCUGCAUGGUGGGGGUUGGAAAGUUUCGGCGGUUGGGGAUGGACUCGCGGCUUAUCAGCUUGUUGGUGGGGUAGUGGCUUACCAAGGCUUUGACGGGUAGCCGGCCUGAGAGGGUGACCGGGCACAAUGGGAAUGAGGGACGGCCCAGACUCCUACGGGAGGCAGCAGGGGGGAAUAUUGGACAAUGGGCGGAAGCCUGAUGCAGCAACGCCGGGGGCGGGAUGACGGGCUUUGGGGUGUAAACCGCUUUCGCCUGUGACGAAGCGGGAGUGACGGUAAUGGGUAAAGAAGCACCGGCUAACUACGUG